AUGACCCAGAGAGUCAUUAGAUGCUGGUCUCAACAGGAACCUUCCAUCAAGAUAAAUAUAAUCUACCUUGGAAAUGAUGUUUAAGGAUGGCAUUGCAAAAAUACUUAUUACGACGACUCUUCUUGGAGCUGUCUUCAAGACGGUAUMUCCUAUAAGUUGCUUCAAAUGCUUUGCAAACGUCAAGAAUGCCAAUUGCAUAUCAUUCAACUACGAAUGCUUCAACAGAGAUAACACCUGUCAAAAAACAGUCAUUGGGCAAAACGMAAGAAUCGAAAAAAAGUGUACAACAUUUGCUUCAUGCAAGAAUGAGCAAAAAUCAUGCAACAAUAGAACAUGCGCAGUCUACUGCUGCGUAGACAACUUCUGCAAUACCGCUGAAACGAUUCAAGCAAACUUUACCUUUGUGUUUAUUUUARUUUGUAUUUCAAUUUUGUAUUGUCAGUUUUGUAGGGAUUGUUUUAAGGAAUGACAAACGUCGAUCUAAUUAAGUGUGRUCUAAUUCUUAUUAACAUCCACUUAGCUAUUAUAGAACUAUAGACUAGCACAAAUACAGCACCCUGAUUUGCUACUGAACAAUAGUACUUUCAUGAAAGUCUCAUCAAAUGAAGGAAAACAAUAUUUUUUGUUCUUUGGUUAAAUGUGUCCUAUMUUUUUGUUGGAUACUAAAACAAGUAGACCAUGUCUUAACCAUUAUUAAAAGGAUCCACGCGA